AGUGAACGCUGGCGGUAGGCCUAACACAUGCAAGUCGAACGGCAGCACAGUAAGAGCUUGCUCUUACGGGUGGCGAGUGGCGGACGGGUGAGGAAUACAUCGGAAUCUACUUUUUCGUGGGGGAUAACGUAGGGAAACUUACGCUAAUACCGCAUACGACCUACGGGUGAAAGCAGGGGAUCUUCGGACCUUGCGCGAUUGAAUGAGCCGAUGUCGGAUUAGCUAGUUGGCGGGGUAAAGGCCCACCAAGGCGACGAUCCGUAGCUGGUCUGAGAGGAUGAUCAGCCACACUUGAACUGAGACACGGUCCAGACUCCUACGAGAGGCAGCAGUGGGGAAUAUUGGACAAUGGGCGCAAGCCGGAUCCAGCCAUACCGCGUGGGUGAAGAAGGCCUUCGGGUUGUAAAGCCCUUUUGUUGGGAAAGAAAAGCAGCAGGUUAAUACCCCGCUGUUCUGACGGUACCCAAAGAAUAAGCACCGGCUAACUUCGUG
rnacentral:rRNA from 1 species